rnacentral:rRNA from 1 species
GACGAACGCUGGCGGCGUGCCUAAUACAUGCAAGUCGAACGCAGUGGGGACGGGUGCGUAACACGUGGGUAACCUCCCAUCAGAGGGGAUAACACUUGGAUACAGGUGCUAAACCGAUACUGAUGUAUGGACCCGCGGUGCUUUAGCUUGUUGGUGAGGUAAAGGCUCACCAAGGCCACGAUGCAUAGCCGACCUGAGAGGGUGAUGGGCCACACGGGGACUGAAACACGGCCCAGACCCCUAGGGGAGGCAGCAGUAGGGAAUCUUGGGAAAGGGGCGAAAGUCUGACCGAGCAACGCCGCGUGAGUGAAGAGGGUUUUCGGAGCGUAAAACUCUGGUGUUAGAGAAGCGGAACCUAACCAGAAAGCCACGGCUAACUACGUGCCAGCAGCCGCGGUAAUU